GCGGCGCUCUAGGCAACGGCGGUGGCUGCUCUGUGGCCAGUGGUGGUGGCGCUCUAGUCCGCGGGUGUGCGGAGCGGGCGCUCAGUGGUGCGGCCGGCGGGAGGCGAUGGCGGCCGUACGGGGCCUGCGAGUGUCGGUGAAAGCGGAGGCCCCAGCGGGGCCGGCGCUGGGGCUCCCGUCGCCUGAGGCAGAGUCCGGUUUGGAGCGUGGCGAGCCGGAGCCCAUGGAGGUGGAGGAGGGCGAGCUGGAGGUCGUGCCGGUGCGGCGCUCGCUGAAGGAACUGAUACCGGACACAAGCAGAAGAUACGAAAACAAGGCUGGCAGCUUCAUCACUGGAAUCGAUGUCACCUCCAAGGAAGCAAUUGAAAAGAAGGAACAGCGAGCCAAGCGUUUCCAUUUUCGAUCAGAAGUAAAUCUUGCCCAAAGAAAUGUAGCCUUGGACCGAGACAUGAUGAAGAAAGCAAUCCCCAGAGUGAGACUGGAGACGAUCUACAUUUGCGGAGUAGAUGAGAUGAGUACCCAGGAUAUCUUUUCCUAUUUUAAAGAAUAUCCUCCAGCUCACAUUGAAUGGUUGGAUGAUACCUCUUGUAAUGUGGUUUGGCUGGAUGAAAUGACAGCCACCCGAGCCCUUAUCAAUAUGAGCUCUCUGCCAGCCCUGGAUAAGAUAAGAAGCAGGGAUGCCAAUGAGGACAGGUCAUCUGAGAAAAGUAAAAAAGACAAGCAGGAAGACAGCUCAGAUGAUGAUGGGGCUGAAGAAGGAGAAGUUGAAGAUGAGAACUCAAGUGAUGUUGAGUUGGACACGUUGUCUCAGGUAGAAGAAGAGUCUCUGCUAAGAAACGACCUUCGUCCAGCUAACAAACUUGCUAAAGGCAAUAGGUUGUUCAUGAGAUUUGCUACAAAAGAUGACAAAAAGGAACUUGGAGCUGCCAGGAGAAGUCAGUAUUACAUGAAAUAUGGAAAUCCAAAUUAUGGAGGCAUGAAAGGAAUUCUUAGUAAUUCUUGGAAGCGAAGAUAUCAUUCCCGUCGCAUUCAGCGGGAUGUGAUCAAGAAGAGAGCCCUGAUUGGGGAUGACGUUGGCUUGACGUCCUAUAAACACCGACAUUCCGGACUAGUGAAUGUUCCUGAGGAACCCAUUGAAGAGGAGGAAGAAGAGGAAGAGGAGGAGGAGGAGGACCAGGACAUGGACGCAGACGACAGGGUGGUGGUAGAAUACCAUGAGGAGCUCCCAGCUGUCAAGCAGACUCGGGAGCGGAGCGCAUCUAGGCGCUCCAGUGCCAGCAGCUCAGACUCAGAUGAAAUGGACUAUGAUCUAGAACUGAAAAUGAUUUCUACUCCCUCACCAAAGAAAAGCAUGAAAAUGACUAUGUAUGCUGAUGAAGUGGAAUCUCAGUUGAAAAGCAUUAGGAACUCCAUGAGGGCAGAUACUAUAUCCACAAGCAAUAUCAAAAACCGAAUCGGUAACAAAUUACCAACUGAGAAAUUUGCAGAUGUCCGACAUCUGUUAGAUGAAAAACGCCAGCACACGCGUCCACACCACCCGGGCAGCAGUGCUAAGUCAGACAUACGCCAGAGGCUAGGAAAGAGACCGUAUUCUCCGGAAAAGGCUUCUGGUAGUAACCCGGUCGUUCGGAGAGAGCCCUUUUCUGAUGUACAUAGUAGGCUAGGUGUUCCCAGGCAAGAUGUUAAAGGCCUCUACUCUGAUACUCGGGAGAAGAAAUCAGGUAGUUUAUGGACUCGCUUAGGAUCCGCACCCAAGACCAAAGAAAAGAACAUGAAGAAAGUGGAUCACAGGGCGCCGGGCACCGAGGAGGAUGACUCUGAGCUGCAAAGGGCGUGGGGGGCUCUGAUCACGGAGAAAGAACAGUCUCGCCAAAAGAAGAGCCGCUGUUACCAGCACCCUUUUCCCAAGAAAAGUCAAUUCCCAGGUGCUUAUUGGACAGCCUUCGAGGGGGAAGAUGAGGGAAGCUGCCAGCUCACUCUUCCAGGACCCUAGUGUGGGGUCGAAUCUCAUGGACCUGACCUCAGAGGUGCACCAGUGCCGCCAGAACUGCCAGACUGUUUGCCUCAGUGGCUGCAUCAUCGUCCAUUCUGCCCGCAGUGUACGAAGGUUCCGACUCUUUCAUCUCGUCAUCAGCACUUGUCAUUGUUGCAGUGGUAUCCGUCGCAUUUGGGUUUGCAUUUCCCUGAUGACACAUGUCAUUGGCAACUUUUCAUGUGCUUCAGGAUGAGCUUUCUUAAGAAAGUUGUUCCUGUUAUUUCUCUGUUUAAACCCUUUCCAAAACUUCCCCAUUUCCCUUGGGGUACAUUCCAGACCCCUUUGAUAGCUCACAAGGCUGGUCAGUUUCCAGUCUCUGGCAGUGUCUCUGGCCUGUUCCCCCAUCAUCCCUUGCCUGCUUGCUCACUAGUGCCCAGACCCAUCUGGAUCUCACCAGCCUUCCAGACUCAGCUCACUGCAGUUCUGCCGCAAUGACACACUCUUCUGGGCCCUCAGCCUUGCCUCCUCCCCAAGGACUUAGAGGCUGCUCGAGACCCAGAGCGGGGCUAUGGGCCCCUGCUAUGUGUCCCAUAGUCCCUCCAUGCAGGAGUCUUGGCUUAUUCCAGGGUGAGGUUAUAAAGUCAGGCCUAAUAAAAAUUGAGUGUGAAUUCUUCUUGGAAAGCCUGAGGAAGGUGCCAUGUUGAAGGCCAGUGUUACUAGGUCCAGUGUGGUUGGCUCCUGCCAGUGUGGGAAUAGAUCAUGGUUUCUUUGGCUGAGCACCAGGUAGAGUGGUUGGCCUGCAAUUAGGGCUAUGUUGUGCAAAAAACACUUACUUUUAGGUGUUAGACUCACACUCAGGCAAGUGGCUCACUUUUGAAGAGGCUCUUGGGAAUGAGAUGGGUCACAGGAGCAGCAGAGGCACAAGACAAGCUUGCUUCAGGCCCUCCUGCCUGUCCAGUGAGUGGAGGAGCAGGUGGAAUGGCCCAAAUGACUUAAAAUUGUUUUCCUUUCUCCUUGUCUUUUUUUUUUUCUAACUUUUUUAGACCAAUACCAUGGUGUUUGCCUAAGGCGAAAUGUGUGUAUAAUGCCAAAUCUCUGUACCCUCCCCACCAGCCCAGCAUACCUAUACACUGGAUUGUAAUUCUCUGUUUCUAUUGUGUGUUUUUGCUACACUGUAAGCUCUGUGAGAGCAGGGACCUUGUGUGGCUUAUUCAUAGGGGUUUCCCUAGUCCUAGUAUGAUGCCUGGCACCAGGCAGGUGGUCCAUUGGUAUGUGAUGAAUGUGUAAACCCCCUGGCUGCAGGACCAGCUCCAUUCUGAGGCCUGAGGUCUUCUGGGAUCCUAUUAUAGGUUAGGCCUCAUUUUUCUGCCUUGUACACAUAACACUUUUGUUUUCAUGUUUCGUUCUCCCUGCUAGCCUGUGAGCUCUUAAGGGGCAGAUGUCCUUAUGCUGUUACCUGUUUCCUUACCACAUGUCAGUCAGAGUAAGUAGUGCUUCAAAAGGGUCUGGUGAAUGAAUGGAUUACUGUAACCGAACCCAGCUCUGGUACCUUUGUCUGUAGGCUGGUCUAACUCUAGCUGAGACAACCACACUCAAAAAGAGGAAGAUUAUUCAGAAGUACAUAAACUGUACUUAUAGAAGAAAAAAAACCUCAUUAAUUAGAUCUUCAUAAAAUCUAAGUUUGGUAUGUGGCCAUAUCUGAGCUGAAGCUUACUGAACUCUAUAAUGAAUUUGCUAGAGAAUCAUGCAUAGUUAAGAAUAUUUUUUAGAAAGCAUUCGUCUGUCUCAGGAGAGCAGGAAAGGAAGCUGGUAGGUGGAUAAAAGGCCCAAAGAGGGACUGCUGAGCCUUUUCUAGCCUCUGGUCCUGUUGGUGAGGAAAGUGACAGCAGUUCAGAGAAGGUGGGAAGAAACAAUUCAUUCCCGGCAGCAGCUCUUUUGCCUAAAACAGCAUUCCAGACCUCACAUGGAGCAUUCUUAAGUUUUGGUGAAAGGCAGUUUGGAUUAAAGUCAACAGCAAACUCUGCCUUCACAGAUUAAUUGCUGUAUAAAUAAGUUUGAUGUAUAAGCAUUUACUUUUAAACCUUAUAUAACAAGAAGUAAAGAGAAAUUAAACUGUUUUUUUUUUUUUUUAAGAACUAAAAGGACAAUGUUUUUGAGAAUCUUGAGAAUAGUAGAUUUGCUCCAAGGUGAAUUGUUAUUGUAUUAUCUGACCAACACUAAUCUAGAAUUCUUACGUGUUUAUAAAAUAAAUCUUAGAAGAAAAAAUACUGUAGUAUUUAAAAAAAUGAAAUUCUGUUAACAUUUCACAGAACUUUGAUGUUUCUGGGAGCAUUUAGGGAAAUGCUGGCUCAAAAGCCUAUUUCAAAUAGCUGUGAGGUGUUGAAGUGGGAUUUUGCUGUGCUGUAAAUAAAAUUCUCAAGUAUGGGUGGUAUUUAGCUUGCCAAAGUCAAUACUCUGCCCUGGGCUCUUAUCUGCUUUUGUUUGAGCAAUUUUAGAGGCUCCACACAGUGGAGACUGUCUGUCACCCUUGACCCUGGACCAGUGCAGGUUAGUGAGGGUAGGAUGCCCAUACCAUUGGCAGGAGAGGAGACCUGGCCUUUUGUCCCUUUUUGGGUUAUUGUGUGUUUAACCCUGUGAUACAUCUCUUCUUGUCAUUGGCAAGGUUUCUCAGAGGGCCUUUGAGCAGAAGGCAGCACUUUUAGCUCAGUUAGAGUGUCUUCUUGGGAUGGUCAAAUAGGAUGGUGCUGGGGCUGGGCCUGGAGCCCUGGGGACUCAUUUUGUCUCACAUAUAAACUGGAAAAGCCUGAGCAAGUCCCUUCACCUCUCUGGACCUCAGUUUCCCUGUCUGUCAAAUGAAGGGCUUGGCUAGGAGGAUCUCCAGGUUUCCUUUUAGUACUAAUAUGAAUUCUGUGUCUUUGCUGUACUUUCCCAGGGAGCGUCAGGAGUGUAUGUUGGGCAGGAAGGAGUUGGGGGCUGGCCAGAGAACUCAGCCCUUGGACCCUUUGUUCCAUGACUCUUAACCAUCCCCAUCUGCAGCCUUUCAGUUGUGAAAGGACUAGAGGAUCACUUGCUACACACACACACACACACACACACACACACACA